UGUAACUAAGAUCCAUGCACAGGAAAGGACUGCCUGAGGUGAAGUUUUCCAAGUUAUCACAUACUGGAGGAGAGAGAGAGUGAAGAAUGGCAUUCAAGUCUGCAGCCAACUGAGAGCUUGCCCAGUUUCCUCCCUGGACGACACCUGGAGUGAACUUACCAAUCAUGUCUGUGUCAACAGCUCGGUCAUAAUAGUAAGAGAAGGCAUAGAAGGAGCUUCUCUGGACCUCAUCUGGCUGAUGAAGCUUUCCUUGCACCACCCUCAGCACUUCAGUGUAGCAGGGCUCAAAGCCCACCGCCCCUGCUGGGGCAAAGGUGCACAGGAACAAGGUGAGAACGUGAGAUGCAAGCUGCUGAAGCCAAAGAAGAAACAGCAGGAGGAUCAAGGCGAGCUGAGGCUCAGGACAAAGGGCUCACAGACAAAGCUGGGCAAACUUCUGCAGCCUCAUCACCCUGGAGGAAAGGACCCUGCUUCUCCACAGCGGCUCUGUCUCUAAACUGUGUUCACCAAAACCAGCCACAGCCGACCUCAAGCUGCUGCCAAGCACUACGUGUCACAGUAUUCAUGAGAACGGUAGGCAGAGGUCCGUCUGCUUCCUUCGCUAGAAACAUCAAGUUCUUUCUGUGAGUUUAGGUCUAUGCCUUUCUUAAUACCUAACAUCAAUUAUUCUUCCUGUCAUCUUAAUUUCCAGUUUUACUAUAAUUGAAAUAGCUAAACAUUAAUUGAACCCGGAACAGUUUCACCCUGCUGAGGGGCAGGGACUCUGAAUACAUCAGACUAGGGUGAGAAAAGGUUUCUAAGGGAUCUACGAUACAGGCAAGGGAAGAGCUGAAUGCAGAAUGACGGCUGCCUGUUCGCAGUCACCUCACAUCACUCCUCAGGGGUAUACCAAGAUCUAUUAGAAUUAGUUCCUGCAAAAGACAAGCUUCCCGGGGGCGGAGGGUGGGAAGGGGUAGAUGGGAUUUCAAAAUUGUAGAAUAGAUAAACAAGAUUAUACUGUAUAGCACAGGGAUAUAUACACAAGAUCUUAUGGUAGCUCACAGAGAAAAAAAUAUGACAAUGAAUAUAUAUAUGUUUGUGUAUGACUGAAAAAUUGUGCUCUACACUGGAAUUUGGCACAACAUUGUAAAAUGAUUACACAUCAAAAAAAAAAAAAAAAAAAAAAAAAAAAGACAAGCUUCCCUUGAGCUCUGGAAAAAGUUUCCCAUGGGACUUUUCCAGACUUGUACUGUAAAAGUAACUUCAACCAGUGAAAAAAUAUCACUUGCCUUCUUGGUUGCCACCAUACUGGUAUUUCACGCCCCCAAAGAUCCACUCUGCUUCCAGCCAUCUCGGUAGACAGGCACUCCGGAAAGUGUGUCCAUCGAUUCCUGAAAGAAAUCAGACCACAAAGUAAGAGGCAAGGGUGGGAGAGAGAAAAAGAGGAAGGCAAGCAAGAAGCCAAUAAGGUUGACAGGAAUUAUCAAGGUGGCAGGAAUUCUUAACUCAGGGUUUGUAGAUGGGUUCUGUGGGGUUGGUGGACCCCCUGAAACUACAGAUAAAUUUCUGUGCAUAUGUGCAUUUGGCAGAAGGGUUGAUGAUUUUCAUCACAUCUCAAAGAAAUCUAAAACCAACAAUGGGAAUAAGUUACUGCCUUUCUAAAAAAAGGAAAAAAUACUGUCCUACUUUUCCCAUUGGUUGUUGUGAGAUUUAAAGAAAAUACACUUGAAAAUGUAAACUCUGAAAUACUAUACAAUUAUCAUCACAAUAAUACCUUAUUGUGAACCAUGCACCACACAAAGUACAUUAAAUGCAAAAUCUCUUUUAUUUUAAGGUAAAGAAAGGGGCACAGAAAAGUGAGCUAGCUGGCUCCAAAUCUCAAGACUGGAACUGACCCUAGUUCUGCCUGACCCCAGAAGCUGAGCUCUUAACCCUUUUACCACCAGUGACGAGAGGAAUGGAAUUGUUCAGUUAUUUCACUUUGUAAAUGAACUGCUGCUGCCUGUACCUCCCAGAAUCACGGCAGAGGGCGGGUAAAGGCAAGCUGAGCACUGGUGUCACUCUCACCCAACCAGCACCGGUACCCAGACGAACCUUCCGUCUCCAGGGCUCCCAGGGUUGCUAGUCUUGCAGCUUUCAAUCCAAAUCCCAAG